UGGUUGUUGACACAUCAACCAGGAUCAAGAGGCAGGGACAUGUGUGACUUGUUUUGGUAAUCAGUGGUUGUAUUGCAAGUGGAGUUGUUUCACCUCUCUUAGGCAAUCAGCUAUUAGUACAGGGACUUGUGCUUUCCUGCUCUGCAAUUAUCAAUUAGUGUUAGUUCUUCAGUCUCCCCUGGGCCGUUGUGUCAAUGGCAGUUUUGUCAGAGAACUAAGAUGGUUCUGGGGAGCUGUUUUAAGGAAGGAAAGAGGGGAAAGGUCCACUUGUCAACUGUGUGUGUGUUUUCUAUCCCAGUUUGCUCCUCUCCCUGUAGGCUUUACAGAUGCUCCCCACCCCUUGGCUGCAACCCAUCUAAUUUAGUGUAACCUGCGUGCCCAAUUCCGUGUCUCUGGCAGCAUUUGGAACUGCCGAUCUGUGGUCAAGAACGCAGCUUUCAUCUCAGACUAUGCUGCCCUUCAGUCCCUUGAGUGUUUUGCCCUGAUGGAGACGGAUCACCCCAGGGAACACUGCUACUCCAGCUGCUCUUUCAUCCGACUGUUUUCUCUCAUAGUCUGAGAGCAUCUGGUCGUCUCGGUGGUGACACUGUCCAUCUCCUCAUUUGAAUUCCAUGCUGUCACUUGUCCACUGAAGCUUAACAUUAUCUAUUGCCCACCAGGUGCCCUUGGAGUGUUCCCCAAUGAGCUUGACACCUUGAUAACCUUAUUUCCUGAUGAUGGCACACCGCUCUUUGUACUUCGUGACUUAACUUCCUGACAUCUGCCUUCCCAACUCUCUUGACUCUUUUGACCUCACACUUUCCCAAUCCCCUCCAACUCACAAGGCUCAUACUCUUGACCUAAUCUUUACUAGAGGCUGCGCACAUGCUAAUCUCACUGCACCCCCCCCCCCCCUCUUCCUGCGCAAAAUGCUUGAUCCCAUUCACCAGGUUAGUUGACUGAGAACCCAUUUUAAUUUACAGAAACAACUGUUAUCUGUAGGUAUUUUGUGUAUUUCUGUGCAAGACGUAUCAAAAAGAUGCUUCAGAAGAAACCAACAGGUUUUGAUCUAUUUUAGGUGUAGUUCUGUGUGUAGUACCCAAGAUGCUAUUGCUUCCUGAGUGUCAGUGCUGGACCAGCCACUUCAAUAACACACCAGCAGAUGGCCAAGUUAAUGUUUCACAAUGUGGCUUGAAUUACAAAUAUCAGACUGUUGUACUAUUCUAAACUAUGCUUUGGGAUUGUGACUCUCGCUCACAAUUAAAACCACGUUUUAUUAGCUAAAUUAAAAAUAAAAGCAUCGAUCAGAAUGGCUGCUAAACGAUGGUGUGUGCUUCUGCCUGUUCCAGAUCCCGACUGAGCUGGAGCACAGUGGUGUGGACAGGAACAAGGAGCAGAGCGCUCCCAUUCUCGGUCACCUGGUCUCCAACACCUCUACAUGGAGCCCAUUCUAAAGAUACAUACUGUACCGUCAUCAGCGCUGUCCCCUAUGUUUUACUCAAUGAAAGUAACAUACUAUAUAUAGGAUAAAUGUAAUCUUAAAAGGUACCGCCAUCAGUGCUGGCCCGUAUGUUAACUACCCUAUAAAAUCCUCUGAAUGUUUUACUCACUGAAAGAUCAUUGUUAGUCCACCAUAACAUAUAAGUUUGUGCUGUUGUUACUUUUGAAGUUGGACAUGUUUAAAUCAUUCAACUUAUACAAGUGACGUUGGCUCUAAGGUCAUUUACUCUUUAUUUCAGGCUCUUAUUCUAAAGCUGAAACAUCCAUACCCCAAUCCUGGGGUAGUCAUCAGUGUCCUGGCUACCAUUGGAGAGCUGGCUCAGGUGGCACUGUGGACUUCAGGCGAACAGGUUGCCAGCACGGGAUACGUGGUGGAGCCCUAAAACAAAUACCCCUCUCGUCUGGAGUUGCUGCUCAACUUCCUCAAGAUGGAGCAAAAGCAGGGAAUACGGAGAGGGGCUUUUCGUCUGCUGGGCUUGCUGGAGCCCUGGACCACUACAAGCAGAAGGUGAACAUCGACCAGUCACGAGACGCCUCGGCUGUCAGCCUCUCGGAUUCCAAGUCCAGCCAGGACACCGAGAGCGAGCUGAUCAAGGGGUCGAAAAUGUAGAUUUUGCCAGAUGUUCACUGUCUGGGGACCAGGCCGUGAAGCGUUAUUGCUGGCAAUUGUCCACGACCAGAGGUAAUUAAACUGUUCUAUGUUCUUUUUUCUCUCCAUCUCAUCCUGGUCUUGUUGUACAU